rnacentral:rRNA from 1 species
UACGUAGGGUGCAAGCGUUAUCCGGAAUUAUUGGGCGUAAAGAGCUCGUAGGCGGUUUGUCGCGUCUGCUGUGAAAACCCGAGGCUCAACCUCGGGCCUGCAGUGGGUACGGGCAAACUAGAGUGCGGUAGGGGAGAUUGGAAUUCCUGGUGUAGCGGUGGAAUGCGCAGAUAUCAGGAGGAACACCGAUGGCGAAGGCAGGUCACUGGGCCGCAACUGACGCUGAGGAGCGAAAGCAUGGGGAGCGAACAGG